rnacentral:rRNA from 1 species
UACGUAGGGUGCAAGCGUUGUCCGGAAUUAUUGGGCGUAAAGAGCUCGUAGGCGGUUUGUCGCGUCUGCUGUGAAAACUCGGGGCUUAACCCCGAGCCUGCAGUGGAUACGGGCAGACUAGAGGUAGGUAGGGGAGAAUGGAAUUCCCGGUGUAGCGGUGAAAUGCGCAGAUAUCGGGAGGAACACCGGUGGCGAAGGCGGUUCUCUGGGCUUUACCUGACGCUGAGGAGCGAAAGCGUGGGGAGCGAACAGG